GUUCAUUGGUAUUAGAGUCUUUCUUAAGCAUGAAAUUUGGAAUUCAAAUGUGAAUCAAAAUCUAAUAAAAAAAAGGAUAGUAAAUUGCUAUAAACAUACUCAAACUCUUUCAAGUAAAUAAUAUGCCUUCAACUAAGCCAACCACUCUGAUGAACAGUUCCAUCUAUAAUAAGUAUUUUUUAACUCUUCGGGUUCUACAAGCAAGGAAAUUAAGUUUUCGUUUUCCUUCCAACAUUUAUAUGCUAAUAUGUGUUGAGCAAUCUAAAAGCAAUAGAAUUGCCCUUCAGAAAUUUUCCAUCUAAUCAUGAAUCGGCGUGAAGAAUUACUUCUAAUCAUUCAUGGAAGCAACGGUGGUGGUGGUGGUGGUGACUGUUUUAGAAUCUCCGUCCCCAGUGACGGCUUUCUUCGUCCUGGUUUCAGAUCUUAUUUCUUUCAAUGGUACAAUACCGUUUCCAGGUGAAGUCAUAUCAUUGAUCUCUGUGGCUUUGGCCUCCUCCCUGAAUUUCUUGUAGAUGUCACCUUUAUAGAAUUUUCUGGUCCUGAGCACUAAAAUGAAGGAAAUUAAGGACCCAAAUAAUGUUGCUGCAGUGAUUAUGAGGAAAGCCAUUCUAUAACAGUGCACACCAUUGCAUGUCAAGUCUUGCCCUGCUUCCCUUCUAAGCCCCGAGGCCUCCAUUUGCUUCAAUGCCUCUUUAUCGUAUAAAUGGCCGGCCACUCUCACAUUGAGGACGUACGAGCCAACUGGGCUAGCAACAGAACCAAAAUUGUACAAGGUUGAAUAGUACUUCAGGCCAAAAAUUUCAGAUAUCAUUGCAAACAUCAAUGGCCAUUGUGCUCCGAAGCAGAAACCGAUGAUCACAGAAGCGAAGUAGAGGGAAUUUGGAACGCCAAAAGCAAUUAGAAGAUGCCCAAGACAAGAGAAGAGAAGCACAAAUGUAAACAAUAGAGGACGAGGGAUCUUGUACUUUGUCAGCAAGAUUUCAGAGGCAAAACCAGCCACUGCUCGACCAAGGUAGUUCCAAAUACUAACAAGUGACACAAAGGUUGUGAUGCUACGAGUUGGAUAGCCGAGAGAGUUCCCAAUCUGACCCAAGUUAUCUAUUGCUGUCAACGUGCCACCAACGCCACAAGUUAUGGCGACAAAUAUUAUCAGCAUAUCCACACUAAAAAGUGCUUGUAAUAUGGUGAAGUCUUCACCUCUGUCUGGUGGUUUGAAAAUGUUGUCCAUGCAAGAAGCUUGCUUCUCUGUUGGCGUUGGAAUUCCAGGUGGUGGGGCUGAUGGCUCUAGUGCUGGUGUCGAUGUUGACAAUUCCAGCGCUGGAGGAUUUUCAGUCACGACUUUCACUGGAUAUGGGUCGUUCAAGGCUGCCUUCUUGCUGCUCCAGAGAUUAUAUUCUUCUUUUAUAACGAUAGCUAUAGGGAGAAAAAGCAAUACAAGAACAAUAGAAGCGCUUCCAAUGUACUCAAUUCUGGCAAAGCUGAACUUGUUUUGUAUGAUAAUCAAAACCAUGAGAAAACCAGCAAGACCAAGUGAAAUAUACAGGAGUUUGUAGAAAACUUUGACCUCAUUGGGUUGGCGAACGAUCUUAAUUAUCCGAAUGGUACGAAGAAAAAUGAAAGAAACAGCAGCAGGAAGCCAAGCAAUAAGCAAGAUAAGAGCCUUGGAGUUAUCUCCAUAAAAAGCAUGGUAGAGUUGAGUCAAAAUAGCUCCACUCAAACCAACAAAUCCCUUUAACAAGCCCAAAACAUUACCUCUGCUUUCCGGGAAGUUCUUGACACAGGUGACUAGAGCUCCAGUAUUGGCAAAAGUUUGAGAAUUUGCUCCAAUACAUAUAUAAAGACACAUCUGCCAAACUUUUGGCUUGGCAAUCUGGCCAGUAACAGCAAGCCAAAUCAUGAAGUAUCCAAGGAAAUUCAUGAUUACUCCCAUGGAAAGAACAACCCAAGGUGGGGUGACUUCAUUGAUGAGCCCUGACAAGACUCCAACAUUACCACCCAAGUCCUUGAAGAAGCUAAGCAAAUUGAGAGUGGUUUGAUCAUAGCCUAAUGACGUUUUAAUGUCAUUAGAGUAUAGACUAAACAUAUAAGUUGCACCAGCCACUGACAUGAUCAAGAGAGAGGCAAAGACCAUGAACCACCGGCCUAGAAUCACUUUGAACAAGAAACCUUUCAUCUCUCUCCACCCACCACCACCGACAUAAGCAGCCACCAUUUUUAAUUACCUAGCUCUAGAAAUGAUUGAGUAAUGCUUAAUGAUUGAGGGAUUUAAUACUCGAUAGCUUAUAUAUAGAGGAGUUCUGGCGCUAGAAAGUGAGGUGUGAAUAAGGAGUACCCCAAGGAAUCGGAAUUAGGCAGCGAGUAGAACAAGUGCUUUAGCACUGCAUUCUUG
rnacentral:misc_RNA from 1 species